rnacentral:rRNA from 1 species
AGAGUUUGAUCCUGGCUCAGGAUGAACGCUGGCGGCGUGCCUAACACAUGCAAGUCGAGCGAUCUUCUUCAGAAGAGAGCGGCGGACGGGUGAGUAACGCGUGGGUAACCUGCCUCAUACACAUGGAUAACAUACCGAAAGGUAUGCUAAUACAAGAUGAUAUAAGAGAUUCGCAUGGAUUUCUUAUCAAAGCUCCGGCGGUAUGAGAUGGACCCGCGUCUGAUUAGCUAGUUGGUAAGGUAACGGCUUACCAAGGCGACGAUCAGUAGCCGACCUGAGAGGGUGAUCGGCCACAUUGGAACUGAGACACGGUCCAAACUCCUACGGGAGGCAGCAGUGGGGAAUAUUGCGCAAUGGGGGCAACCCUGACGCAGCGACGCCGCGUGAGUGAGGAAGGCCUUCGGGUCGUAAAGCUCUGUCAAGAGGGAAGAAGUGCAUGGUAGCUAAUACCUGCCAUGUUUGACGGUACCUCUAAAGGAAGCACCGGCUAACUCCGUGCCAGCAGCCGCGGUAAUACGGAGGGUGCAAGCGUUGUUCGGAAUUACUGGGCGUAAAGGGCGCGCAGGCGGCCUGCCAAGUCAGAUGUGAAAUGCCAUGGCUUAACCAUGGACGUGCAUUUGAAACUGGUGGGCUUGAGUACCAGAGGGGAAGGUGGAAUUCCCGGUGUAGAGGUGAAAUUCGUAGAUAUCGGGAGGAAUACCGGUGGCGAAGGCGACUUUCUGGCUGGAUACUGACGCUGAGGCGCGAAAGCGUGGGGAGCAAACAGGAUUAGAUACCCUGGUAGUCCACGCUGUAAACGAUGUGAAAAAGAUGUAGGGGGGGGUGAUCCCCUUCUGUGUCGGAGCUAACGCAUUAAGUCCACCCGCCUGGGGAGUACGGUCGCAAGAUUAAAACUCAAAGGAAUUGACGGGGGCCCGCACAAGCGGUGGAGUAUGUGGUUUAAUUCGAUGCAACGCGAAGAACCUUACCUGGUCUUGACAUCCCGGGAAUUCUUAGGAAACUAGGAAGUGCCUUCUUUGAAGGAGCCUGGAGACAGGUGCUGCAUGGCUGUCGUCAGCUCGUGUCGUGAGAUGUUGGGUUAAGUCCCGCAACGAGCGCAACCCUUGCCUUUAGUUGCCAUCAGUUUAGCUGGGCACUCUAAAGGGACUGCCGGUGUCAAACCGGAGGAAGGUGGGGAUGACGUCAAGUCCUCAUGGCCCUUAUGACCAGGGCUACACACGUACUACAAUGGCCGGUACAACGGGCAGCGACAUCGCGAGAUGGAGCCAAUCCUUCAAAGCCGGUCUCAGUCCGGAUUGGAGUCUGCAACUCGACUCCAUGAAGUUGGAAUCGCUAGUAAUCGUGGAUCAGCAUGCCACGGUGAAUACGUUCCCGGGCCUUGUACUCACGGCCCGUCA